UACGAAGGGGGCUAGCGUUGUUCGGAAUUACUGGGCGUAAAGCGUGCGCAGGCGGCUUCUCAAGUCAGGGGUGAAAGCCCAGAGCUCAACUCUGGAAUUGCCUUUGAGACUGAGUGGCUUGAGUACGAGAGAGGUGAGUGGAAUUCCCAGUGUAGAGGUGAAAUUCGUAGAUAUUGGGAAGAACACCGGUGGCGAAGGCGGCUCACUGGCUCGUAACUGACGCUCAUGCACGAAAGCUAGGGGAGCAAACAGG
rnacentral:rRNA from 1 species